AUCCCAUCAGCAACCAGACCACACAUCUCAACAUCACUGAACUCUGUCACACAUGUUCAGAAUUGUUCAUUAGAGAGCAGGGCCUUCCUUUAUUGUACAUUGUACUGAUUUCUGCUGCUGCUGGAUCUCUGUUGAUUGUAGCUACAAUCAUGAUCUUCUGCAUCUGCAAGAAAUGUAGAAAAAACCACCGAGACCAGAAGCGAUUCUGCAUUGUGUAAGCCAGCACGAAAAAUGAAAUCCAAGAAGGAUCCUUUGUAUGGAAAUCUUGCCAAAAAACAGUGACCAAAUUCCACGUCUACUGGAAUAAAUGAUAGAGCUCACACAGGCCCUGACUCAUACUUCUAUUACAUUUAUUUGUUUAAAGAUUUUUGUCUCAGAUUUUUUCCCCUUUCCUUUUGCAUUACAUUGUUUAAUUUUAUCUCAUUUAAAUAAGCAUAAAAUUGUACACUGUAUGGUAGCACACACAUGUGAGAAGGAAAUUGCUUUAAUGUCUAAACAAGAAAAUGUCUUCUCCUCUGUAACAACUGCUCUACUUUUACCCGACAGGGUGCGCUAAAAACAUAUAGAAUGAUGCUGUUCUCAAUAUAAUGAACUGAAUAAAAUCUUA